GCGUUGUUCGGAUUCAUUGGGAGUAAAGGGUGCGUAGGCGGCGCGGUAAGUCGGGGGUGAAAUCUCGGGGCUUAACUCCGAAACUGCAUUCGAUACUGCCGUGCUUGAGGACUGGAGAGGAGACUGGAAUUUACGGUGUAGCGGUGAAAUGCGUAGAUAUCGUAAGGAAGACCAGUGGCGAAGGCGGGUCUCUGGACAGUUCCUGACGCUGAGGCACGAAGGCCAGGGGAGCAAACGGG
rnacentral:rRNA from 1 species